rnacentral:rRNA from 1 species
AACGAACGCUGGCGGCGCGCCUAAUACAUGCAAGUCGAGCGAGAAGACGUAGCAAUACGUUUGUAAAGCGGCGAACGGGUGAGGAAUACAUGGGUAACCUACCCUCGAGUGGGGAAUAACUAGCCGAAAGGUUAGCUAAUACCGCGUACGCUCCUUGGACUUCGGUUCAGGGAGGAAAGCGAUACCGUGGGUAUCGCGCUCUUGGAUGGGCUCAUGUCCUAUCAGCCUGUUGGGAGGUAACGGCUCACCAAGGCUUCGACGGGUAGCUGGUCUGAGAGGACGAUCAGCCACACUGGCACUGCGACACGGGCCAGACUCCUACGGGGGGCGAGCAGUAAGGAA